GAUGAACGCUGGCGGCGUGCCUAAUACAUGCAAGUCGAGCGAACGGACGAGAAGCUUGCUUCUCUGAUGUUAGCGGCGGACGGGUGAGUAACACGUGGAUAACCUACCUAUAAGACUGGGAUAACUUCGGGAAACCGGAGCUAAUACCGGAUAAUAUUUUGAACCGCAUGGUUCAAAAGUGAAAGACGGUCUUGCUGUCACUUAUAGAUGGAUCCGCGCUGCAUUAGCUAGUUGGUAAGGUAACGGCUUACCAAGGCAACGAUGCAUAGCCGACCUGAGAGGGUGAUCGGCCACACUGGAACUGAGACACGGUCCAGACUCCUACGGGAGGCAGCAGUAGGGAAUCUUCCGCAAAGGGCGAAAGCCUGACGGAGCAACGCCGCGUGAGUGAUGAAGGUCUUCUGAUCGUAAAACUCUGUUAUUAGAGAAGAACAUAUGUGUAAGUAACUGUGCACAUCUUGACGGUACCUAAUCAGAAAGCCACGGCUAACUACGUG
rnacentral:rRNA from 1 species